UAGGGAAUCUUCGGCAAUGGACGAAAGUCUGACCGAGCAACGCCGCGUGAGUGAAGAAGGUUUUCGGAUCGUAAAACUCUGUUGUUAGAGAAGAACAAGGACGUUAGUAACUGAACGUCCCCUGACGGUAUCUAACCAGAAAGCCACGGCUAACUACGUGCCAUCAGCCGCGGUAAUACGUAGGUGGCAAGCGUUGUCCGGAUUUAUUGGGCGUAAAGCGAGCGCAGGCGGUUUCUUAAGUCUGAUGUGAAAGCCCCCGGCUCAACCGGGGAGGGUCAUUGGAAACUGGGAGACUUGAGUGCAGAAGAGGAGAGUGGAAUUCCAUGUGUAGCGGUGAAAUGCGUAGAUAUAUGGAGGAACACCAGUGGCGAAGGCGGCUCUCUGGUCUGUAACUGACGCUGAGGCUCGAAAGCGUGGGGAGCAAACAGG
rnacentral:rRNA from 1 species